UACGUAGGUGGCAAGCGUUAUCCGGAAUUAUUGGGCGUAAAGGGUUCGCAGGCGGUCUAUUAAGUCAGUUGUUAAAGUUCGGGGCUCAACCCCGUGGUGCAUCUGAAACUGAUAGACUUGAAUCAAGCAGAGGUAAGUGGAAUUUCUAGUGUAGCGGUGGAAUGCGUAGAUAUUAGAAGGAACACCAGUGGCGAAGGCGGCUUACUGGGCUUGUAUUGACGCUGAGGAACGAAAGCGUGGGGAGCAAACAGGAUUAGAUACCCUCGUA
rnacentral:rRNA from 1 species